CGGACGGGUGAGUAAUGUCUGGGAAACUGCCUGAUGGAGGGGGAUAACUACUGGAAACGGUAGCUAAUACCGCAUAACGUCGCGAGACCAAAGAGGGGGACCUUCGGGCCUCUUGCCAUCGGAUGUGCCCAGAUGGGAUUAGCUAGUAGGUGGGGUAAAGGCUCACCUAGGCGACGAUCCCUAGCUGGUCUGAGAGGAUGACCAGCCACACUGGAACUGAGACACGGUCCAG
rnacentral:rRNA from 1 species